AUAUAUAUAUCAACCCUCUCUUGUUGUACAUGUUGAGUGGUUUGGAUGUGGGGGUUUGCUGGCCGUCUCUCAGAUGGUUCAGCUCCCCUGAAAUGCAUUAGCAGAACAAACCUUGUUCAUUGGUGUGAUAACUAUCUACGCUAUUGAAUGUGAGGGGCAGUUCAGCUUUCUAACAGUCUUUGGACAAAUUCAUCAUUA
rnacentral:misc_RNA from 1 species